rnacentral:misc_RNA from 1 species
ACAACCAUUUCACAUCUUAUGUGGUAUUGGCUGAUGUGGAUGAUGGCACUUGCGGUGCUUGUCCCACUCAGCUGAAAUAUAUCGGCCAGAGAAGCAAGCCAUGGCAACAGACUCACAGAGUGUUAUACAAUGCUAAACUAGUCUGGAGCAGGUUGGAAUCUGUGCCACUGGACCCCCCGUUCAUCAAAACUAAAAGA